UAUGCACUAUAAUAGUGAGGCAAAAUCAAAAUGUAGGCAACCCUCUGUCCUGAGGGGUGUAUGUCUCUUUCUAUCUCAUUGACUUAUACGGAGAUUUGGUGCAAUAUUAGUUUUCUUUUAAAUAAUUACAGUAUGUUAGUUAGGUUAUUGCUGAAAACAUAACAAAAUUGAACUAUCUUAAACAUUUCAGGUAUAAAAAAUCAUAAUUACAAUUCUGAAGUGGAAUAACGUAGGAGCAAAAAAGUAAAAGCAAAUCUAAUACAAGUAAAAUAGCAUUUCCAUUCAACUUCAUAUGAAGAAGUGAAGAGUGGUGGUGCAUUCGACAUGUUAUAAAAAUAUCCGGAAUUUUUCGGGGAGCUGAAUCUCGUGGCACUCCUCACCUCACCCCCCGAGAGCCCAUAAAUUCUUGAAAUACAGGGUAAAACAAAACGGGUCUGACAGAGACAAGGUACCGUCCCAUUAGGCUAUCUCUCUCUGUUGCCCCUGAUACAACAUCCCGGUAUUCAACAAUGGCCGGGGCCGUUCAAGGCAGAGACAAGGGAUAAUCAGGAUUCCAAGGGAUUCCCGGUACUUUACAGGACGUUACUGCGAUGAGCCACCUAAUACUUGUAGAUAA